CCUACGUGUGGCAGCAGUGAGGAAUAUUGGUCAAUGGGCGCGAGCCUGAACCAGCCAAGUAACGUGAAGGAUGACUGCCCUACGGGUUGUAAACUUCUUUUAUAAAGGAAUAAAGUGAGGCACGUGUGCCUUUUUGUAGGUACUUUAUGAAUAAGGAUCGGCUAACUCCGUGCCAGCAGCCGCGGUAAUACGGAGGAUCCGAGCGUUAUCCGGAUUUAUUGGGUUUAAUGGGAGCGUAGAUGGGUGGUUAAGUCAGUUGUGAAAGUGUGCGGCUCAACCGUAAAAUUGCAAUGGAUAAUGGCAGCCUUGAGUACAGUUGAGGUAGGCGGAAUUCGUGGUGUAGCGGUGAAAUGCUUAGAUAUCACGAAGAACUCCGAGUGCGAAGGCAGCUUACUAAACUGCCACUGACAUUGAUGCUCGAAAGUGUGGGUAUCAAACAGGAUUAGAUACCCUGGUAGUC
rnacentral:rRNA from 1 species